ensembl:lncRNA
CAACAGUGCACAAUCGAGGUUCUCAGAAACAUGCCCAGGACUCGUCACUCCGCAACGUGCUGUAUGCUCGGUCUUCCCUCUGUCGGGCAUGUCUCCAUCCUGAGCCCCAGGGUUGUCCUUCGGGAUGGAGCUGAGGAAUCAAACCUGGGUCCUUAUCAGCAGCUUGAAGUAAACAGAGUUCCAGGCGACCGAGAGCUCCAAGUAGGGUGCUGGCUCAUGCUUUGUAUUCAAGAAACACGAGUUGAAUCACCAACAGCAAAGGUAUUUGUACCAACUGCAAUCACACCUUCAGGUUCUUUUUCACCUGCACCCCCACCAACAUGCUUUAACACUGAGUCAGCAUCCACAGGUUUCCAGGGUCACUUGAGAAGCCGCACACGUGAUUUAUAGGGUGUCAUCUUGGAAUGAAGUCGUGUGGAAAGUUCCACUGCAGUACUGGAGAGCCACUUGACAGUUCACAAUGAACUUUUGUUUUUAGCAUUUCGUUUUCUGGUCCUGACUUUAGAAAUGAG